GUGCUCCUGAGCCGUUUUUUGAUGAUGGAGUUUUCGAAUCGACGAUCGGCUCCGUUAGACUUGAUCUAGCGCAUUUGAAGUUUCUAGAAAAUAAUUUUUGUGAUUUUUCGAUAUCAUUUACCUAGUGAUCGAAAGGAUUCAAAAUUCAUAAUUUUUAAUGGUUGAUAUCUGCCGUUUUCAAGUUUAACGGUGUAGAAAUAUUCAAAUCAGAUGAAAUUUUGAUAGAAAAUUCUUUAUACUAUCUACAACAAGAUCUAUAUUUCUGAUCGAAAAUUUUAGUGCUAUAUCACCACUUUUUAUAGGAUUUUUAUUUUCAGCCAUUAAAAAUUAUUGAUUUUGAAUCCUUUCGAUUGCUAGGUAAAUGAUAUCGAAAAAUCGCAAAAAUUAUUUUCUAGAAACUUUAAAUACGGUAGAUCAAGUUUAACGGAGCCGAUCGUCGAUUCGAAAACUCCAUCAUCAAAAACGGCUCAAGAGCACGGAGACCUCCGUGCUCCUGAGAGCACAGCAGCUCUGCUGUAUAUAUAUGUAUAUAUAUAUACAUAUACACAUAUAUACAUAUACAGAU
rnacentral:lncRNA from 1 species